AAAACCGCGUCGAGCCGCCGCGUUGUCACUCGUUACCGCUCCGUCGGACGUCGAAGCGAACGCGCGUUCCGAUUUAUUUUUUUGCAACUUCAACCCUAGUACAUAGUACUCCCGUAUAUCAAAUAUGAAACCACAAUUAAUUAUUUUGUUGGCUGCUGUCACAUUCACCGUAGCUAUGGUGCCUAAACUAAGGGUUUACGGUGACGCAUGUUCAGAAUGGGCGGCAACGUAACGUAACGUAAGGCGUGAAGCGAGACCGGACGCCGGACGCAAUCAAGGGCGCGCGCGGGCAGUGAACUUGGAGGAUGAGUUGCAACAUACGAUGGCGAGUGCGAGUUCCACAGCUGAUGAAGGCGCAACCGCGAGUACCUCCGCCACGCUGGAGGUCUGCAAGCCGGAGACGCCCUGCGCUUGGUAUAUAUACGUCACCAAGCAGAAGAUCAUCGACACCAAUAUUAUAAACACGUAUUGCACCUGUAACGUCGGCACGGAGUGUCAAUAUUACGAAGACGAUGAAAAUCUGAACGCUUUCAUCCACCGCUGCCGGCCGACCAACCCAAAAGAAGAUAAGAUGGAGAGCUAGCGCGCACAGGACACACGGACAGGGGGAUAAGCGUACACCAACGUAACUGUCACGCACUUAAUUCUGCCAUUUUAAAAAUGUCACACCAACACAUCGAAAUAAGAGUUACAUUUUUUGAGGUGUCUAAAAAGAUGGUGCUCUUCAGAUGCGUUGAUUAGCGUAACAAUUUAUUAUGAGUGUCAUAAUCGGUACUAAAUCAACAUUGUCAAGCUAUUGUGAUUUGGGUUGGCAGAAUUGAGCGGCAUGAAUAACAAUAUCAUGUUACCACUUGUAUUAUUGUGGAUAAGGAUUAGUUGUAACCAAACCUCGCGUGUUGCUCAUUACUUUUUAUAAUUCGGCAGAAUAGCCUUCAUUACAUUUUGUUUGCUGAUUGUCUUAACUAUUUGGAUAAAUUAAACCAUGCAUACUAAUUCUUAACGUCGAUUUCAAAAUUAUUAAUGGAUUAUUUGAACAUUGACUAUUCAUAGGUCUUCACUUACUAAGUCUUUUUGACAAUUUAAAAAGACGAAAAUAUUAUGUGUAUGACAAUAAA